UCCCUGGUGGUCUAGUGGUUAAGACUCUGUCUGCCAAUGCAGGGGACAUGGGUUCGAUCCCUGGUCUGGGAA
rnacentral:tRNA from 1 species